GAUGAACGCUGGCGGUGUGCCUAAUACAUGCAAGUCGAGCGAACAGACGAGGAGCUUACUCCUCUGACGUUAGCGGCGGACGGGUGAGUAACACGUGGAUAACCUACCUAUAAGACUGGGAUAACUUCGGGAAAACGGAGCUAAUACCGGAUAACAUGAUGAACCGCAUGGUUCAAAAGUGAAAGACGGUCUUGCUGUCACUUAUAGAUGGAUCCGCGUCGCAUUAGCUAGUUGGUAAGGUAACGGCUUACCAAGGCAACGAUGCGUAGCCGACCUGAGAGGAUGAUCGGCCACACUGGAACUGAGACACGGUCCAGACUCCUACGGGAGGCAGCAGUAGGGAAUCUUCCGCAAUGGGCGAAAGCCUGACGGAGCAACACCGCGUGAGUGAAGAAGGUCUUCGGAUCGUAAAACUCUGUUAUUAGGGAAGAACAAAUGUGUAAGUAACUAUGCACGUCUUGACGGUACCUAAUCAGAAAGCCACGGCUAACUACGUG
rnacentral:rRNA from 1 species